AGAAUCAACGCUGGCGGCGUGCCUAACACAUGCAAGUCGAACGAGAAAGUGGAGCAAUCCAUGAGUAAAGUGGCGCACGGGUGAGUAACACGUGACUAACCUACCCUUGAGUGGGGGAUAACCUAGGGAAACCCGGGCUAAUACCGCAUAAUACCUUCGGGUCAAAGGAGCAAUUCGCUUAAGGAGGGGGUCGCGGCCGAUUAGUUAGUUGGCGGGGUAAUGGCCCACCAAGACUAUGAUCGGUAUCC
rnacentral:rRNA from 1 species